AAUGUUAAAUUGAUGCCUCUUGGC
rnacentral:siRNA from 1 species